rnacentral:rRNA from 1 species
UUUAAGGUCUAAUCUGCCCAAUGAGGAUUUAAAUGGCCGCGGUAUUUUGACCGUGCAAAGGUAGCAUAAUAAUUAGUUUUUUAAUUGAAAGCUAGAAUGAAUGAUUGGACGAGAAAAUAGCUGUCUCAAAUUAAUUUUAUUAGAAUUUUAUUUUUAAGUAAAAAAGCUUAAAUUUUUUUAAAAGACGAGAAGACCCUAUAGAGUUUUAUAUUUUUGUAUUUAUAUUAUAUUUUUAGAAUUUUAAUUUUAAUAUAUAUGGAAUUAUUUUGUUGGGGUGAUAGAAAAAUUAAAUUAACUUUUUUUAUAUUGAAACAUUUAUUUAUGAUUAUUUGAUCCAUUUUUUAUGAUUAUAAGAUUAAAUUACCUUAGGGAUAACAGCGUAAUUUUUUUUUAGAGUUCUUAUCGAAAGAAAAGAUUGCGACCUCGAUGUUGGAUUAAAAUUUACAUUUGGUGUAGGGGCUAAAAAGUUAGGUCUGUUCAACCUUUAAAAUUUUACA